GGACAACGUAAGGUGCAUCUUCUGUCAGGUUUAGGCCGCUGACGUAAAAACCAGCUGAAAAAAAAAGCAGAUCGUUUAAAAUGACAUAAGUGAUCACCUUCUUAGGGUUUGGACUGUCAGCAUACCUGGAGACAGUGUACCACCAACAGGCCAGUCAGUCCACAGCUCAGGAUGCUGCGGCACCACCUGCUUGUUUCCAUAGGAAACGAUGACCUGCUGACAUCUGGACCAGCAGGAGCG